CCAAUAGCGUAUAUUAAAGUUGUUGCAGUUAAAAAGCUCGUAGUUGAAUUUCGGGGUUAGUAGGUUGGUCAUGCCUCUGGUAUGUACUGGUCUCACUGAUUCCUCCUUCCUUAUGAACCGUAAUGCCAUUAAUUUGGUGUUGCGGGGAAUUUGGACUGUUACUUUGAAAAAAUUAGAGUGUUUAAAGCACGUUAACGCUUGAAUACAUUAGCAUGGAAUAAUGAAAUAGGACGUUCGAUCUUAUUUUGUUGGUUUCUAGGAUUGACGUAAUGAUUAAUAGGGAUAGUUGGGGGCAUUAGUAUUCAAUUGUCAGAGGUGAAAUUCUUGGAUUUAUUGAAGACUAGCUACUGCGAAAGCAUUUGCCAAGGAUGUUUUCAUUAAUCAAGAACGAAAGUUAGGGGAUCGAAGACGAUCAGAUACCGUCGUAGUCUUAACCAUAAACUAUGCCGACUAGGGAUCGGAUGAUGUUAAUUUUUUAAUGACUCAUUCGGCGCCUUACG
rnacentral:rRNA from 1 species